rnacentral:lncRNA from 7 species
AAAGGAGCUAAUAUGAAUUAAAUAUAAAUUAACCAAGUUUCUGGAAUUAUUUUCAUACUAAAAACCAUUUUUUAUAUUAAUAUACUUAUUUUAUUUAUCCCCUGGGUGGCGGUCACAAUUUCUGAGAAGGUGAGGGUCUAUUUUAUAAAUAGUUGACUAAUUCGCAAGGGUUUUUUAUACUGCAUAGGACGGCGGGUUGAUUUGAUACAACUGCAGGGUCUCUUUAGCAAAGUUAAAUGGCCGAAGGGGUAUCAACCCUUAUGAACCGCCCAGAUCAGAUUGUGUGGUGUAGAUUAGGUCUAAACCGUAUGCGCUCUAAUCCGCAGGAUCGGAGAUCACCGGUCACGGUUUAAUGAAUCACAGAUCUAAUUCGGGUCGAGGGAUCAAAGAUCCACGGCUCAGAUCGAUUCCAUCCGAACACUGCUGAACUUCUAAUCGUGGCCGCCAGAUCAUCGACAGAUCACGCGAAGGGGUGUACGUAAUCUAAUCGCAACCACACGCGCACGGAUCAACGAUCCACGCGACUCCGCCAUUAUGACUAAUCUCAACCAUAGAUGGUCUAACCGAUGAUCCCCACCCGUCUUCCCUAGCCCGCUGGCCACCCACGGUGGCGCAGAGCGCACCGCGACGGGGCAUCACCGGCGCGUUCCCAGUACAGUGC